UGCAACUCGUGUCCCUUCCUAGCAUGAGCUUCAUGCUUUGUUUUCCCCACCAUUCAUCAAAAUCAUGAGCUUCCUUUAAAAUGUUAUAAAUAGUUCUCUGUUCAUGCAUCAAGUGACAUCAACGAAUACUCGUUUAGAUAUGUUUUGUUUUAGUUUUGAAAAUAUAUCAUCAAGUGGGUACUUUUGUAAUCCAGUUAUCUUGGCCAUAUUACAUUCUAAAUCUAAUAAUGCCUUGUAAUGUUUACAUAAUUAAUAUUUUGCAUUUCUCAAUCCCUCAAAUGUUUCUCUUAAUUAAAACAACAGUGGAAUGUGCACAUUCUACGUAUAAUAGAUUCUGCACCUGUUGGCCAUAGGAAAUUUUUUAAUGGAAUGUGCACCUUCUACAUAUAGAAGUUAAUACUAAGUGCUUCAGAAGCCAGUCAGGUGCCAAAUCCUAAUGAUGAUUGUCCAAUUGAUACGUAGUCCAACAAAAAAGAAUGUAAGGAAAAAAAUGUCUUGAUGGAUAUUCGUUUUAUCUAUUCACUUUGGUUUUGAAUAGAACUAUGUUGUUGAUAAAAAGAACACAAGCAAUCAGUCACUGAGUGCUCAUAGGUAUUGCUUUAUUCCUGGAUAUAGACAUUUAUUAAGCUGGUAGAUUCGCUAUAUCUGUAGGCUUUCUAGGCUAUAAAAACAUGGUGAAGGUUCUCUUCAAGGUAAAAAAUUAAAUAUAGAAUUCAGCACAAGAUGGCCAUUUUUUUGCAGCGCGCAGAGCAAGGCAAGGAUAGGCUUUGCAUUGAGAAGAAUUUGGGGGGAGCGCUUGAAAUUGAAAAGGUUACAGGAAAAGUGCUAUUUGUAAUGGGCCAAAAGCAUUGCAGAAGAAGCCAAGAAAGGUGGCUUGGAUCAACAAGAACUAGAUUGGGACAGCUAUGAGAAGAUGAAAGCAGAAAUAGUUUGCCAACAGCUUCAGUGGGCAGCUGAUAAGGCAAAGGCCAGGGAAUUUAAGAAAAAGGCUGAAAAGAAAUCAGAGGAAGAGAAAGAGGACUUGGCUAUUUUUAAGGUUUUAAAACUCAAAGCGAAAUUAACCAAGACAUGUUCAUCUCUAUGUUCUGGCAAUGUUCCAGAGGGAACUUUUUUUCAUUUCUCUGUAUGUAGCCAUGUUUUCAUAUUUCAUACAGCAACAGUCUGGCAAGUAUUUCCUUUUGUGACAUCUACAGUAUUGAAUUAAAUUAUUGUAACUAAAUAGGUUUUCUCUACACUUUAUUCUUGUUUGAACUAACAUGGUACGAUACAAUCAUUCAGGAUUUUAUAUACAAUGUAUAAACAUGCAGCAUAUUAAACUUUCUAAGAUUGUCCAAGAAUAUUGGUAUUUUGACACCUCAUGCCUAUGUUCGACAAUUGUUCCUCUACCUUACCUACAUAAGUAGUCUUAGAAAGGUUAAAAAUUAAAAAUUUACUUCUGCAUAAGUCCUAGGUGACUGUGCACUUAUUGAGCAUUCAAUCUUUAUUUAUUUAUCCUUUUAUUUAUUGAGUUCAUGCCAUAAUCUGAUUCAUUUUAUUUUUAAUUUUAUCAUUUUCCCUUUUGGGUUUUGAAAGAACGAUUAAUCCCCUUAAUUGUUACUGGUUACAAAUUCAGCUGAGUUGACUCAUUAUGUUUUCCAAUCACUUCAUUGAGCUUUCUAAUGCCACUAUGAUUAGCUCUUAAAAAGUAUUGACACUCUAAUUAUUAUUAUAUUUUCUAUCAUUAUUGUUGUUGCUUCUUGGCACAAACAUGCAAUACUCUCUCUGUCUCUUUUGAUAAGCAUAUUCUCGUUUAUCGCUAUCUUAUUUCUCUCUUCCAUGUUUAACACACUGAUAGCAUACUGCUUGGUAUUGUCUUCAGGUUAAGGGACUGGUAGAUAUUUUCUGAGCUAAAAUUGUAGACAUUUCAGAGCAUUCACUAACUAAUGCUUGGUUUUGUCUUCAGGUUAAGGGACUGGUGGAUAUUUUCAGAGCUAAAAUUGUAGAUAUUUCAGUACAUUCAAUAACUAUUGAAGUAACCCUAGUCUUAUUAUUAUUUUUUUCUGGCUUGAUCGAAUCUUAUGUAAAUGCGGGUUGAUCAAUCAUGAUCCCUGCUCUCUUUUCUAGAUCCUUUCAUAAUGCUAAAAUGUUCAUUUCUGUAAUUCUAACCAUUCAAGUAACUGGGGAUCCUGGGAAGAUGGUUGCAGUCCAGAGAAAUCUAACCAAAUUUGGAAUUAAGGAAAUAGCCAGAACUGGAAAGGUUGACUUAAUUAUCUUUUUGCAGGAAUGCAACUUGCAGCUGGAAGCACUGAACAUAAUUUCCCUUCAUGUGCCAAACUGGCAGGCACACAUGUGCCGAUACGGAAUGCGCGUGAGAGAUAUGUCUGGAUCAAUGUUUAAAGUAUUGUCCGAAGUUGGUAUGUAUUGUUCAAUAUGUAUGGCUUUUCAUGAUCUUGAAGUUCAGUCACCAAAGUUCAAUAUGUAUGUAUGUCUUGUUGUUCUAUGCUUAAUAUGUUUAGUGUUGAACAUGGGUAGGUCUGGAUGAUGUGUCAUAUAUCAUGGUGGUAUUAGUAUGGGUGUUGGAAGAUUUGAGCUUCAAGAGUCCAAAGGAAGAGUAAUGUAUUUUCUGAUAUGUAUUUUCUCUUGCUGUUUUUAUCCUCUCUCUCUCUCUCUCUGAUUGUCAAAAUCUUCUCUCUCUCUCUCUCUCUAGCUAAUAAUGUGAUGCAUUUUUUGUUCUGUUGUUUAGAGAGAUACAUGGUAACAUUUAGUGGAAUAUUCACCUACAAGCCAUAUUAUUGUGCUACAG